UUGCCAGACUCCUACGGGAGGCAGCAGUGGGGAAUAUUGCACAAUGGGGGAAACCCUGAUGCAGCAACGCCGCGUGGGUGAAGGAGCGUUUCGGCGCGUAAAGCCCUGUCAGCGGGGAAGAAGAAAGACGGUACCCGACCAAGAAGCCCCGGCUAACUACGUGCCAGCAGCCGCGGUAAUACGUAGGGGGCAAGCGUUAUCCGGAUUUACUGGGUGUAAAGGGGGCGCAGACGGCGAUGCAAGCCAGGAGUGAAAGCCCGGGGCCCAACCCCGGGACUGCUCUUGGAACUGCGUGGCUGGAGUGCAGGAGGGGCAGGCGGAAUUCCUGGUGUAGCGGUGAAAUGCGUAGAUAUCAGGAGGAACACCGGUGGCGAAGGCGGCCUGCUGGACUGCAACUGACGUUGAGGCCCGAAAGCGUGGGGAGCAAACAGGAUUAGAUACCCGCGUAAC
rnacentral:rRNA from 1 species